rnacentral:rRNA from 1 species
UACAGAGGGUGCGAGCGUUGUCCGGAAUCACUGGGCGUAAAGGGCGCGUAGGCGGCGCGGUAAGCGUGCGGUGAAAGCCCGGGGCUCAACCCCGGGUCGGCCGUGCGGACUGCCGGGCUGGAGCACUGUAGAGGCGAGUGGAAUUCCUGGUGUAGCGGUGGAAUGCGCAGAUAUCAGGAGGAACACCAAUAGCGAAGGCAGCUCGCUGGGACGGUACUGACGCUAAGGCGCGAAAGCGUGGGGAGCGAACAGG